UACAGAGGGUGCAAGCGUUGUUCGGAAUUACUGGGCGUAAAGCGUGCGUAGUCGGUAUUGAGAGUCGCGGGUGAAAUCCCAGGGCUUAACCCUGGAACUGCCUGCGAGACCUCAGUACUAGAGUGUGAGAGGGGAUAGUGGAAUACCAAGUGUAGCGGUGAAAUGCGUAGAGAUUUGGUGGAACACCGGUGGCGAAGGCGGCUAUCUGGCUCACAACUGACGAUCAGGCACGAAAGCGUGGGGAGCAAAC
rnacentral:rRNA from 1 species